rnacentral:rRNA from 1 species
GAUGAACGCUGGCGGCGUGCCUAACACAUGCAAGUCGAACGAGAACCCAUUCUUCGGAUUGGGGGACAGUGGCGAACGGGUGAGUAACACGUUGGUGACCUGCCCCGAAGUGAGGGACAAUCCUGCGAAAGCGGGGCUAAUACCGCAUGUGCUCCAGGGGGUUAGAGGCCCCUGGAGUAAAGCUCCGGCGCUUCGGGAGGGCCUGCGGCCUAUCAGCUAGUUGGUGGGGUAACGGCUCACCAAGGCUAAGACGGGUAGGGGGCGUGAGAGCGUGGCCCCCCACAAUGGAACUGAGACACGGUCCAUACUCCUACGGGAGGCAGCAGUGAGGAAUAUUGCGCAAUGGGGGAAACCCUGACGCAGCAACGCUGCGUGGGUGAUGAAGGCCUUCGGGUCGUAAAACCCUUUUCUGGGGGAAGAGAAAGGACGGUACCUCAGGAAUAAGUCCCGGCUAACUACGUG